UACGUAGGGUGCGAGCGUUAAUCGGAAUUACUGGGCGUAAAGCGUGCGCAGGCGGUUUUGUAAGCCAGAUGUGAAAUCCCCGGGCUUAACCUGGGAAUGGCAUUUGGGACUUGCAAGGCUGGAGUGUGGCAGAGGAGACUGGAAUUCCUGGUGUAGCAGUGAAAUGCGUAGAUAUCAGGAGGAAUACCGAUGGCGAAGGCAGGUCUCUGGGCUGACACUAACGCUCAUGCACGAA
rnacentral:rRNA from 1 species